AACAACUUUCAUCACUAUGUCUCCACUCCCUUACUUCUAUAUAACUCAUCUCAUUUGUCUCUAUAUGCUCCCACACUUUGUCUUCGAAAUCUCAAGUAGUUUAAGAAAGAACAAGACAUCAAUAUGAGCUUUCAUGCAAAAAGGUUAGUAAUUUUCACUGUUCUUAUUUUGGCUAUUACCUCCGCUGAUGUUUCAGACGCUACCCUUCGUCAUAUCAUGAACCUCAGAUCUAAUAAGGGUAUUAAGGAGGAUAAUGAAAUAAAGGAGAGGGAGCUUGUGGAGUUUCACCUUGACUACGCAAGAACUGGAGCCAAUCAAGAUCACGAACCAGGGAAAGGAAGACCUUAAUCCAACUUAAUUAUUCAUAACUAAAAUAAUGAGUUUCGUCAACUCUACUACUCUUACAAAUAAGCGUCUUACGUGUUAAGUAUCUCUAUAUAUAUACAUAAUAUGAUGUAAUAUAAUAGCCUACCUAAUAGGCCAAGCUUUUGGCAAGGUUAAAGUUGCAUGUAAGAAAACAUGUGUAUCAGUGUAUGCAUGCAUGCAUCCAUAAAUAAUAUAAGGGGAGUAAAGUUUAAUUCUUUCA